AUGGGGAAGAAAAAAAUCAUGCUAAAACGGCGGCCUAUUGAGAAGCCACAACACCUUUAUUUUGUCCUGAAUGACUGGUCAUGGGGAUACAAUAUUCGAAAGAUCGAUUUGACAUUUGGCGACGAGCGGAAAGGUGCCAUCUGCACGAGCGAGCAUAUAUUACCAUCUGCCAUGUUUUGCUUGCAGGGACGUCGUGGCGAGCCUAAAGCCAUCAUGGAUGCUUUUGACAACAUGAUUUUGGCUAUGCCACCCUUGGACCACAUACAUGGGGUGAACAGUUUGGGUCUACACUGUGGUGCCGUAAUUGACACUCAUGCGCGGACCUUCAUUAAUGGACCAUGGCAGGACACAUCGCUGGAUAUAGUCAACCCAAUCUGCAUUCCUGUUGGUGGCAGGCUCUUUUUCCUUGGUGAUAGCUCCUCCCGGAUGCUCUACCAGGCAUGUGAUGAUGCCUACUUCUACAACUUCGUGUGGGCGUGA
rnacentral:rRNA from 1 species